ACCAUGGUGAAGCCCGGGUCAUAGGAGCCCUUGAAUACCAGGGGCCCCGCCGUCUCCCACACGAAGCUGUUGCCGGCGCUCACCCGUAUGGCCUCCCAGAAAGUCCUCAGGUCCAGCUUGGAACGCUUGGCUGGGCGGGGAGUGGAGAGGAAGGAGGACUUCUCCCUGUACAAAGCACCGUCACGCAACACCAGAGAGCCAUGAGUACGUAAGGAUGGAGAGGUUAGGAUACAACACUGAAGGGGGUUGAAGAAGCCUUGGGGAUACCUGAAGGAGAUGCAUUGAAGGAGGGAGGCCUGGAGGUGAAGGAAAUGCAGAAAAUUCCUCAAAUACUGAGCGCUUGUCUGGUUAGACCUUCCUUCACUGAAUAUUUCGACCGAGGCUUCGAGAUACGAGAUGAGAAUCCAUUAUUUAGUGUUUUAAGGCAGUUUUUAAGUGUUUUUUUAGUUGUUUUUGGGUUGUUUUAAUGUUCUUUUUGAGUAUUUUGGGUUUGUGGAAGGAGGGAGAAAGCUUAAGUAUAGUAAUAAGACCGAAAAAAAGGCUUCAAUUGAGAGUUUUAAAGUCAACCUAGGGUAUAUUAAGCUUUUUUAAGUAUCUUAAGCUACCAGAAGAGAGGAAGCUUGAAUUUAAAUACUAGGAUAAGGUAAAAACUUAUUUCUUGCAUCAGGAAAAGAGAAAAGCUUAAUAUCAUCUCCUCCACUCCCACCGGUGAGCCAGGUGACCCCCCAAAACAGCGCUAAUCCUGCCUACUUGUGGUGUGGCAGCCCUGAUCGUCCCCAUUCCUCCCUCCUCCUUCUUCUCCUCCUCCUCCAGCAAAGAAGAGACGUUUUAAUCAGCUGGUAAACAGACCUCGGCAUUAAGACGGACAGACAGACAGACAGACAGACAGUUAGACAACCGGUAAGUAGGAGGAAGAAGCUGUUGCGUCACCACACUGGGCGGCUGCGGCGAGGCUGGGGUCCCUCCGCCAGCACCUUCAGCAUGCCGAGGGCAAAGAAGAGUGUCGUUACGCGCCGAAAGAACGUAGAGAAGGCGCGGAAAGCUCUCCAGGCACGUGAGCAGCCGCCAGUCGCUACCCCCUCCACCACCACCACCACCACCACCACCUCACCUGGGCCAUCAAGCGCAAAGAAAAAAAAAUCAUUGGGAGCACAGUGGAGGAAUUAGUGAAGAACAUGUUGUGUUCUGACACUGCCACAAACAGAGCUGGUGUGCAGUUAACCCGUCAUCAGAUUAAUGCAUUCAUGCAAGUGAAGUGUCAGUGUGGCCGAGUAAUUACAGAUAAUUUGAAAACAGCGGCAGGCUCGUGUCCCUCCUGAGUCUGAAACACUUCACGCGAGACACUUCCACUCGUUACGUCAGACACGUGGAAGAGAAAGAUGAGGAACCACACACUCCCAGGAGACCUGAGUGCCGUGCUGGCGCCCACUGACCACUACAAGAAAAUACUGUUGUCCUUAGAUGUGAAGUUUUUUCUUUUUUUUUUUUUUUUUUGUAUUCAGAUUGCUACUGUCAUUAGUUUUAUGAUAUCUGUUUCAUCUUAUUUUGAGUUGCGUCUCUUAUUCUUUCAUCUGUUGUUCAGAUGUUAACUUUUUUUUUUCUAUUUAUUUUUGUUUUACAAAAAAUACGUGGAAAUUAUUAUGAAGCUGCAAACAAGUUGUAUUUUUAAGUAAAAACUGUCUUUUUAGGUAGAAGCGCGCAUAAAACUUCUUUUUAAUAAUGACCUCUUUCAUCACUGAUAAUUUUAUGUAAGUUUAUUUUAAUUUUCCUUUAAUUAAGCAGUUGUCUGUUAAACUUACGUUAAAUAACACAGGUUUUUCACGCUGUAUUCUAUUUUUUUUCUCCUUUUAUUUUUCAUGUUAUCUUGCUACAUAUUUCUACACGCGUGCGUGGGUGUCGUAGCUGUCACUCAUUAAAAUAUCAUGUAAAUUGAUGAGUAAUAUAAUUUUUUUCA